UACGAGAGGCCCAAACGUUAUUCGGAAUUACUGGGCUUAAAGAGUUCGUAGGCGGCAUGAAAAGCAGGGUGUGAAAGCCCUCGGCUCAACCGAGGAAUUGCGCUCUGAACUGUCGUGCUAGAGGAAUCUAGAGGUGAGCGGAACUGAUGGUGGAGCGGUGAAAUGCGUUGAUAUCAUCAGGAACACCGGAGGCGAAGGCGGCUAUCUGGCCCGAUACUGACGCUGAGGCGCGAAAGCUAGGGGAGCAAACGGG
rnacentral:rRNA from 1 species